ACUAUCUGUCAUCCUCAUUCUAGCUUAAAAUGCUUCUGUGGCCUCCCGUGGACCUGAGGAUGAGGACUAACUCUGCUCUGCAUGCAGGCCCUCCUGAGUCAGGCCUUCUUCUCCAGGCUGGUCGCCCACAGUCAUUCUGCCCUCCAGCCAUCCCAAGCCAGAAGGCCUCCUUCUCAGAACUACUGAUUUCACACUUCCCUGUGUUGUACUUUCCCCACCACCCCGACUAGGCAUGCUGCUCCCUCUAUCCUUGCAAACAGAACAUGGCUGUGCAGUCGGCGAGGACAUCCUUCCAGGCUUCCUGACCACAGGCAGGAAGAGAAGUCCCCCCUGCCACUCCACACCCAGGAGAAGAGAGUGGCUGGUCCUGUCAGACUCUGGCUUUCCAAAGUCUGGGCAGGGCCUGGCACAGGGAUUCAGCAGCUAAGAAAGCCAAGAGGAGUUACUGACCAGCUUUUCUCCAGGAUCUCACAUAAACCAGAAGUGCAGCAGCAAUAACCAUCAGGCCAAGCAGGCUCGCAGGAAGCCAAGGAACCAGCCAGUUGCUGGCGGGAGUGAACAAGACUUGAGAACCUGGGAGCAGGGAGAAGAAGGUGGCCAUGAGCACUGAAGAUAAAAUUCGGAAAUGCAUUCUAGCCUGGCACAGAACAGGCAGAAUGACUGAUAUUAGGGGAAC
rnacentral:lncRNA from 1 species